UCGGCGAAAUCCAUGAUCCUAUGCUGCCGAGAAAAGCCUCUAGCGAGCUGGUACAUGGCCCGUACCCCAAACCGACACAGGUGGUCAGGUAGAGAAUACUAAGGCGAUCGAGAGAACUGUGGUUAAGGAACUCGGCAAAAUGCCCCCGUAACUUCGGGAGAAGGGGGACCAGUCCUGGUGACGACAUUUACUGUCUGAGCUGGGGUUGGUCGCAGAGACCAGAGAGAAGCGACUGUUUACUAAAAACACAGGUCCGUGCGAAGUCGUAAGACGAUGUAUACGGACUGACGCCUGCCCGGUGCUGGAAGGUUAAGAGGACCGGUCAGCCACUUCGGUGGCGAAGCUGAGAAUUUAAGCCCCAGUAAACGGCGGUGGUAACUAUAACCAUCCUAAGGUAGCGAAACUCCUUGUCGGGUAAGUUCCGACCUGCACGAAUGGCGUAGCGACUUCUCUGCUGUCUCAACCACAGACUCGGCGAAAUUGCAGUACGAGUAAAGAUGCUCGUUACGCGCGGCAGGACGAAAAGACCCCGGGACCUUCACUAUAGCUUGGUAUUGGUGUUCGGUUCGGUUUGUGUAGGAUAGGUGGGAGACUGUGAAACUCGCACGCCAGUGUGAGUGGAGUCAUUGUUGAAAUACCACUCUGACCGUAUUGGACAUCUAACCUCGGACCAUGAUCUGGUUCAGGGACAGUGCCUGGUGGGUAGUUUAACUGGGGCGGUUGCCUCCUAAAAAGUAACGGAGGCGCCCAAAGGUUCCCUCAGCCUGGUUGGCAAUCAGGUGUUGAGUGUAAGUGCACAAGGGAGCUUGACUGUGAGACGUACAUGUCGAGCAGGGACGAAAGUCGGGACUAGUGAUCCGGCACCGGCAAGUGGAAGCGGUGUCGCUCAACGGAUAAAAGGUACCCCGGGGAUAACAGGCUGAUCUUCCCCAAGAGUCCAUAUCGACGGGAUGGUUUGGCACCUCGAUGUCGGCUCGUCGCAUCCUGGGGCUGGAGUAGGUCCCAAGGGUUGGGCUGUUCGCCCAUUAAAGCGGCACGCGAGCUGGGUUUAGAACGUCGUGAGACAGUUCGGUCUCUAUCCGCCGCGCGCGUAAGAAACUUGAGGAAACCUGUCCCUAGUACGAGAGGACCGGGACGGACGAACCUCUGGUGUGCCAGUUGUUCCACCAGGAGCACCGCUGGUUAGCUACGUUCGGAAGGGAUAGCCGCUGAAAGCAUCUAGGCGGGAAGCCUGUUCCAAGAUGAGGUUUCUCACCACCUAGCGUGGUUAAGGCCCCCCAUAGACCAUGGGGUUGAUAGGCCAGAACUGUAAGCACAGCAAUGUGUUCAGGUGACUGGUACUAAUCGGCCGAGGACUUAC
rnacentral:rRNA from 1 species